rnacentral:rRNA from 1 species
CCUACGGGAGGCAGCAGUGAGGAAUAUUGGUCAAUGGACGAGAGUCUGAACCAGCCAAGUAGCGUGAAGGAUGACUGCCCUAUGGGUUGUAAACUUCUUUUAUAAAGGAAUAAAACGAGGCACGUGUGCCUUUUUGCAUGUCCUUUAUGAAUAAGGAUCGGCUAACUCCGUGCCAGCAGCCGCGGUAAUACGGAGGAUCCGAGCGUUAUCCGGAUUUAUUGGGUUUAAAGGGAGCGUAGAUGGGUUGUUAAGUCAGUUGUGAAAUCCCUCGGCUUAACUGAGGAACUGCAACCAAAACUAACUUUCUUGAGUGCUGGAGAGGAAAGUUGAAUUCCUAGUGUAGCGGUGAAAUGCGUAGAUAUGAGGAGGAACACCAGUGGCGAAGGCGACUGUCUGUACAGUAACUGACGUUGAGGCGCGAAAGUGUGGGUAGCAGACAGGAUGAGAUACCCCUGUAGGC